GCCCAGUGAUGAGACCAAGGCGAAUAUGAGCUCAUUGAGCGAGAGUUGGGUUCUUGUUGCCUUGAAUGGCAGGUAAUCUUGGCAGAGCAGAGGAGGAUUUCUGCUCUGCUGUAAGGGCCUGCCGACAGAGACUUAGCUCAGCCAGAAUUAUUCCACUACAGUUACUGUGGAGUAAUUGCUUUGGCUGAUGCUGACAGUUUGUUUGUGUGUGUUGUAUGUGUGUGUGUGUGUGUGUGUGCAGAAGGCAAAAAGUUCACCCAGCUCUCUUUGCUGUUCGUUGAGCUGUGACUGUUGUCUUUGGUAAUCUGAGGGCA
rnacentral:snoRNA from 1 species